rnacentral:rRNA from 1 species
AGCCUAACACAUGCAAGUCGAACGGCAGCACAGGAGAGCUUGCUCUCUGGGUGGCGAGUGGCGGACGGGUGAGGAAUACAUCGGAAUCUACUUUUUCGUGGGGGAUAACGUAGGGAAACUUACGCUAAUACCUGCAUACGACCUACGGGUGAAAGCAGGGGAUCUUCGGACCUUGCGCGAUUGAAUGAGCCGAUGUCGGAUUAGCUAGUUGGCGGGGUAAAGGCCCACCAAGGCGACGAUCCGUAGCUGGUCUGAGAGGAUGAUCAGCCACACUGUGAACUGAGACAACGGUCCAGGACUCCUACGGGAGGCAGCAGGUGGGGGGAAUAUUGGACAAUUGGGCGCAAGCCU